rnacentral:rRNA from 1 species
AGAGUUUGAUCCUGGCUCAGAUUGAACGCUGGCGGCAUGCCUUACACAUGCAAGUCGGACGGCAGCGCGGGAGCAAUCCUGGCGGCGAGUGGCGAACGGGUGAGUAAUACAUCGGAACGUGUCCUGGAGUGGGGGAUAGCCCGGCGAAAGCCGGAUUAAUACCGCAUACGCUCUGAGGAGGAAAGCGGGGGAUCUUCGGACCUCGCGCUCAAGGGGCGGCCGAUGGCAGAUUAGGUAGUUGGUGGGGUAAAGACCUACCAAGCCGACGAUCUGUAGCUGGUCUGAGAG